rnacentral:sRNA from 1 species
GGAGGAGCAGAUGAAUGGCUUCUACAGGGUGUUCUCCAUCCUGAAAUACCCUGUCAAGUAAAAUGAGAAAUAUAUCUGCUACAUAACAGAGACAGAUGUGAACGACCAGCUUUUCAGAAUCAUCCACAAGUACCCAAAGGGAUGAGGAAUGCUUUUAUAAAGAGAAUGAAAUCAUUGGCACUGCCUGCUGAUGGGUGGCUCUGCAAGGUAGCCACAUUGGCCUUGGCCACUGUCCUCUGGCUCCCGACAUCAGGACUUACCUCAAUGCAGAGACAGAUUCUAUCACAUUCUCUAUGUGUCUUUUCAGACUGAAGAAUCUAGGUUGGCUCAGGCCACCUUCACACGGAAGCCUCUCCCCUUCACUGCUGCUCACAUGUCAUCUCCGGAAUGCCUCAUGCUGCCUAUGCUUAGGGCUUUCUUGAGGUGGCCCAGACACAGCAUAGCACACUAGAUGCUUGGUUUCUAUAGAAUGAUCAGUUCCUGUGUUCUGCAAUGGUCUUGUCUAGUCAUAGCAGAAGUAUAGCUGUAUAGUAAGCACUUACAGAGUUAGAAACAUGUUAGGCCUGUUCAUAUAGGACUGAAAAUCAUCUCACAAAGAUCUGUGAGGAUUAGGGAUUCAUCCCUGUUUGCACUGAGGAGACUGUGACUUCAAGAGCUGGGCCAUGACUGAGGUAAGAGUCAGACCCAGGUGGCUCCAACUCUGGUACUUGAGAGAGGUACUUCCGUUCUCAUGGUCCACAGUGACGAGUUGGAGAGUCUCCCCUGUGACAUACCACACUGCCUUCUCAACACAGGAAUACCCAGUGACUCCACUGCUACUGACAGGGUCUUUCGGGCUCCCCAUUACGAAAGCAACACUCCUCAGAGUGAUUCCUGGGAGUUCCAAAGAUAUCUUGUCACUCUUCCUAAAAUGUGUUUUUGUAAGGCU